AAUACAUGCAAGUCGAGCGAAUCGAUGGGAGCUUGCUCCCUGAGAUUAGCGGCGGACGGGUGAGUAACACGUGGGCAACCUGCCUAUAAGACUGGGAUAACUUCGGGAAACCGGAGCUAAUACCGGAUACGUUCUUUUCUCGCAUGAGAGAAGAUGGAAAGACGGUUUCGGCUGUCACUUAUAGAUGGGCCCGCGGCGCAUUAGCUAGUUGGUGAGGUAAUGGCUCACCAAGGCGACGAUGCGUAGCCGACCUGAGAGGGUGAUCGGCCACACUGGGACUGAGACACGGCCCAGACUCCUACGGGAGGCAGCAGUAGGGAAUCUUCCGCAAUGGACGAAAGUCUGACGGAGCAACGCCGCGUGAACGAAGAAGGCCUUCGGGUCGUAAAGUUCUGUUGUUAGGGAAGAACAAGUACCAGAGUAACUGCUGGUACCUUGACGGU
rnacentral:rRNA from 2 species